GCUAUUAUGGUCCAAGCACUUCAACCCCAAGUAAAAGACAGUGGAAGAAGCACCACCUGACUGCACCAUCACUUUCCAGUAUUGGACAUGCAUCGUCUGAAACGUUUUCAAAUCGAGAAGACCUGCCACCUACAGAGGAAGCAUUGGAAGAUGAGGAGUGCACCAUGGAUGCCUCAGAAGUUCUAGAGGAGAGGUAUAUAAAUACUCUCAAGCUUUCGAAUUUGUCUAAAUAUAAGAAAUUAUGUUGAACAUGUACAUUGUGAUUGACUGUUUUCUUUUAGUCUACAGAACAUGAGCAUCCAGGAUGCUGAAACCCCGCUCAUGAAUGAACAGGAGAUAAAUGACCUAAUGAAUAAUGUUCAAUUCCCAUGCUUUUUGUGUCUGUCCAUUAUAUUUCUGUAUUAUUUUGUAGGAGCUGUGGUUUGGGCUCCUACACCAUGUCACAAAUGAACACAGGUGGGUACUGGGAGGCUGCCAGCAUGCAGACUUGCAAUCAGGGGGAACUCAAGAGUGGCUUGAGCGAGGCUCCAUGGCACACGAGGCCCUGAAGAGUAUUGUGCGAAACAAGCGAUGGCUCAACGAAGUUCACAAAUACCUGAACUUCAGGUCCACUGCUGAUCUGGAGUCCUUCCAAAAUCAUAUUUUAAUGUAUGCCAGCAAGCGCUCAGCAUUUAGCCCUCCUGUCUUUGAGGCCAGGAUGCUCCUCGCAGCGAUCGAUUAUAACUACCACAAGGACCGCCCAGAGUUGUGCAAGUCUGAUGGAAGCAAGCAGUAAGUGACAUGCUCAUUUCUACAUGUUGGAUGUUGGUAACCAUUUUACCUGAUUACACCAUUGAAACUCUAUAUAAAACACUGUACUGUAAACAGUGUUUCCCCUAGAAUUUUUUUCAGGCCCGGUGGUACCCACAGAAAAAACCCUAAACAGACGAGGCGCGUGGGACGGCAUAUUGGACAUGUGACAUGCAGCAAUAUAACCAAGUUUUACAUUAAAAAUCAUUGUAGGCCUAUAUUGCAGAAUUAUAUCACUUCAAUUAAAUCAUUAGGCUUAAUCUAACCUUUAACCAAAGUGUCAUGGGCCUGAAAGGCUGCAGUGUGCUGGUCUGACCCAUAUGAGCAUUGAGCACAUCUUUUCUAUACAUUUCAGAGGGAUCUCUAUGAAAACCCUCUGGGAUGGUCCUCUUUUAACGGGCUGCUUGUGCUGACGGGAUAUGUGACAAAACAUCCCUAUUCACAAUUGAGAUUAUAUCAGUUAUAAAUAAUUUAAACAUUGUAGAAGAUUUUUUUUCCCGUUUUGUUACAACAGAGUUACAUGCAUUUGACAAUG